rnacentral:rRNA from 1 species
CGGCGAACGGGUGAGUAACACGUGAACAAUCUACCCUCUCAUUCCGGAUAAUUGGCUGAAAAGCCUUGUAAUACGGGGGAGGUUCCUUAUUGGGCAUCCUUUGAGGAACGAACAGGUAACUGGUGCGAGGAGGAGUUCGCGGAUUAUCAGGUAGUUGGUGGGGUAACGGCCUACCAAGCCUACGACGAUUAGCUGGUCUGAGAGGAUGGUCAGCCACAUUGGAACUGAGAUACUGUCCAGACUCCUACGGGAGGCUGCAGUCGAGAAUCUUGGGCAAUGCACGAAAGUGUGACCCAGCGACGCCGCGUGAAGGAUGAAGGCCCUCUGGGUUGUAAACUUCUUUUACGGGAGAAGAAUAAAUGACGGUAUCCCGUGAAUAAGCCACGGCUAACUACGUGCCAGCAGCCGCGGUAAUACGUAGGUGGCAAGCGUUGUCCGGAUUUACUGGGCGUAAAGCGAACGCAGGCGGACUGUUAAGUAGAAAGUGAAAGGUCGGAGCUCAACUCCAACAUUGCUUUCUAUAC